UAUCUCACUAUAUUGUUCGCCAGAGUACUACAAGCGCUAGCUUAAAACCCAAAGGACUUGGCGGUAUCCCACACCCACCUAGAGGAGCCUGUUCUAUAACCGAUAAUCCCCGUUAAACCUCACCACCUCUUGCCAUUACCGUCUAUAUACCGCCGUCGUCAGCUCACCCUAUGAAGGAUAAAAAGUAAGCAAAAUGAAUAAAACUCCAAAACGUCAGGUCGAGGUGUAGCAAAUGAAGUGGAAAGAAAUGGGCUACAUUUUUUUACAAAAACAAUACGAACGGUAAACUGAAAAACACCUAAAGGUGGAUUUAGCAGUAAGAGGAGAUCAGAGUACUCUUCUGAAAUUGGCCCUGGGAUAAGCACACACCGCCCGUCACUCUCCUUAAUAAAUAAUUUACUUUUCCAUAAACAUAUUUUCUUAAUAAGAGGAGGCAAGUCGUAACAUGGUAAGUGUACUGGAAAGUGCACUUGGAAUC
rnacentral:rRNA from 1 species